CAUUGCUUCCACCAAUUUUCCUUGCCGUUUUCAGUGUUUAGUAGCUGUAAUAUUCUACCUGAUUACUCCCUUUCCUUAAUUGUAUGCAAACCCUUUGAUAUAUGCAUGUAUGUGUUGGCUGUGAUUAGGGUUUCGGCCCAAGAGGUGGCUUUGUUGUGCGAUUGUAUGAGAAAGGAGGCUGCGAGCCUCACCUGGGUCGAGAGCUCGUGAAAACGAAUCUCCCCAAGUGAAGGCUGGUCAUGGCGAUGAACUGCAGUGAGUCAUGGCCGGGGUUUUGUGAUAUUUUGAUUGUUGGGUUGAUUUUGAGGCUUGAUUUAUGAUUGAUUGUUGUUGCGUGUCAGUUUUUAGUAUAGAGUUAGUGAUUACAAGUAUUAAUUAGUUUUGGGUAAAACUGAAUCAUGAGUUUCUUUGUUGUUUUCGGUCGAAUCUCUACUUGAACCACUUUGAUUUAUGAUCCUUGCUAGCUGCAUGAGGUUCUUGGUGACAGAUUCUAUGUGUUCAAGGGCUCCCGUGUAGAGAAUUGAGAUAUUGGAAGUUGCAUAUUAGUUCUUAGGCCUUAAUAGUCAAUUUUUGGUGAUGUUUAAGAGUCAAUUUGUGGUACCAUACUGCUAGGACAAACCUGCCCUGUUUUGAUAUGCUUAAGAAUGGUGUGAAAUUGUUGAAAACAGGAUCGCUAAUAGGUUACAGCACUGAAAUCAGAAACCAAAACUAUAAAAUUUUAUUACAACUCAAACUACGUUAUCAGCUAAACUUCGGUAAGAAGGAUAACUGAUAACCAAUAAAUAAAAACUAUCUACAACUGAAUUGAAAUAAUUCAACUCUGGCCAUAACUAGUCUCGCAGCCACCUCCCUGGCAGUCUCGCCUAGCAUUACUCUUACGCGCAGCUUAUCCAAGUGACCAUCCUAAUCCUUAGCUGAAAGGGUUAGAAAUAAUAGCAAGAGUGAGCAAUAAUGCUCAGCAAGUAUAACAUUAUAUUUUUAACAGUGCAAUAUUAUAUGAAUUAAACCAAAUAUUUGUAACAGAGAUUCAGUUCUAGGUUCCCCUCAAAAUAAUCGAAGUUCAAUUACAUACUGCCACCCAUUUUAUAAAAAUUUCGAUUCCAAUGGGUCCCAACUAUUCUUUUAUCAGAAUAUAGUCCAUUUAUAAGAAUAUUUAAUUAUUAACUUCCUUUCAACUCAUUUGACAAUACAGGUGAUCAGCCACAUAAAGUCCUCCGUCCCGAGCACUGAACAUAAGUCCCAUCGGCAACGGAUCGUCCCAAGCACCGGAUAUAAGUCCCAUUGGUGACGAAUAUUGUGGUACCCAUUAGGCAUCUAAUUGGCCUUCGACUGGGCUAGGUUCGCUAGCCUCUUACGCCACACUAUUAUGGAACUUUCAACUCCAUCUCCUUAAAUUGUCCAUUUAUUUAGACGCUAUUUUCAUAAUAAUGUUUAUUUAGAAAGGAAAUGAACUUCCACAGUUCCCAAGACAAUAUAUUCAUGUCCCGGGCCACGGACGUAAAGUCCUCCCGGUGACACAUCGGUGCCCCGGGCCCCGGACGUAUAGUCCUCCCGGUGACAACAUAGGUGCCCCGAGCCCCGGACAUAAAGUCCUCCCGGUGACAAUAAUUGGUGUCCCGAGCCCCGGACAUAAAGUCCUCCCGGUGACAAUAAUUUGUGUACACAAUAGGCAUCUUGCUGGCCUUUCUGGUUGGCUAUUCACUAGCCCCCGGCUAUUCACUAGCCCCUCACAAUAUAUAUAAUAUAUCCUAAAACUCUUCUUUUCUUAUUUCAAAUCACCACCAUGUAACUCAAUGUAACCAAGUAGCUAUCUCAGCUAUCAAGAACAAGAUAUAUUUCUAGCAAUGUUGUCAACUGUAGAUAUAACAAUCGAGAUAUUUAACUUAUCUUUAAUCACACGAGAAAGAUAACAAUGCUUGCCCUUUCAAUAUAAAUGCAGAAUAGAAUUACUAGCAGUAAUUACAAGUUAAGAAUAGAAAUACUUGCUAACUGCAAGAGAAAGAUAGAUAGAAGUACUUGCCUUAAAUCCUGCUUCUCGGAUUUCUAUUAAUACUAUCUACUGACAAUUGUUCCCUUCUGCUUAGUUUCUGACAGAUUUUAGUAGAAUAUCCAUAGCACAGCUUCACUUUAUGGGUGUAUGUAAGCCUCGCACUGCAACACUAUUCAACUACUCCUAAACCUCUCGGUCGACUCUGUACAGCAGUAAGACAAUACUUCAAUCGUCGGAUCAGACGAAACUAAGUACUUCCAAAUACUAUUUAAAUCCGCAACUAACUACCCUUCGCAUAUCCACAUAUAACAAACGUGAAUAUAUAUAGAUAUCGAUAUAACAAUAUAUACAAGUUGGAUCAGUCUGACAAUUAACAACAUUAGCAUGAAACAAUUAAUAUAUAUUCCACUCCUACUAUAAUAUAAUGUUGUUAAUCGUCAAAUAUUCAUUAAUAAAUAAACUAUUUAAUUUCUAACAAAAAUUCGACAGCAUCUACUCUGUUUAUUGGACUAUCCACCUGUUUUAAAUUAAUACCAACAACCAACUAACCAACUCCUAAAUCAAAUACAUUUACAAUUACUGACUAGCUCCAACUAAUACACAAUUAUAAUCCAACAAUUCACAUAUCUCAAUUUAAACAUUUAUUGAAAUCUAAUUCUAGAUGCAAAUCCUUAAAACAAUGCAUAUAAUAAACUCGUAAUGUCACACCAUAUCAUUUAUUGACAAUAAAUCCAAUUUAAUAAAUUAAUAAACAAAACACAAUCUCAUUUGAUUAUUAUAUAUUAGAUAGUUUAUUGAAUACGUAUAUUAACGCAACAAACAUAUGCCUACUCCCGAUACAUAAACUAACUAUUGAAAUUAAGAAUCAGAUUAGACCAGUUAGAAAGAGGGACAUAUUGUGAUAUAAAGAUAAAUUCAAAUGGAAAAGUGUAAAGCAUAAAAAUUGUGGGAAAUUCCAAGACCUUUCCAGAAUGGUAAGGCUCAUUAAAAAUGAGAAAGUAAUGAAUUCAGAAACUUUAAAACAAGCAGCUGCAUAAGCAAUCUCAGCCGUGUUUUCACAAGUAACUUGACAAUUGAGACUCUAAAAUCAUAGAAUUGGUGUUUGGAAAGUAAACAACAAUUGUAGAGCUCGAAAAUAGCUUUUCAAAUCACUAAACCUCAUGAGCAUAUCAUAAAAAUUGAAUUUACUAUGAUUUUUCAAAUAACAGGGCAGUGCUUUUGAAAAUCAGUACGUGCUUGAUAAAACUCACAUAAAACUUGAAUUUCAAAUUCAAAUUAAACAAAACACAGUGAAUAAACAUUGUGGAAAAUUUCAAGACCGUUCUAACAGAAGUGGAAUCACUAGUUUUAGAUAAUCGAAGAAUUAUCUAUGAUUUUUACAAAAUCACAGACCUGCAUGACAAAACUGGAUUUCAAACCCAUUACACACAACAUACAAAAAUGAGCAAAUCUCUUAGCUCACUAAUCGAAAGUCUAUGAUUCCUUUUCGUACUUAAACUAGACACUAAGUUAAAUCUUUUCAUAGCAAAAAUCAUUACUUAAUAUGCCUUUGAAUUAUUCUAAACCGUGCUCAAAACAAAGGCAACAUAGCAGAAAUUAAUCAACCAAAAUCAAGCAAGACACGACAUACGCAAGACUCGAAACUAACAAAAUCAGCUAAAACAAUCACAGCCAACAGUGGUAUAAACACAUAUAUACACACAAAAAGUACACAUACUCAGCCACCACAAAAUAGCUCCACCACUACUAGCCUCCAUCAUCUCUCUCCCGGCCAUAUUUCUCUCUCUAUCCCUCUCUCUCUUCUCGUAGUUGCUGCUGCGGUUUCCUUCGGCCAAACACGGUGCUACCACAUCGCAGGCCACCACCGAGCCGCCCAAACACAGCCCCCUUCCUUAUCCCUCCGUUCCAGUACGCGGCGUCACCGCUGCCUUAAGGCCACCCGCUGCAACAAUUCCGACCCACCGCCACCAAGAACCACAGCAACCCCAAGCAUAUACACACAUAGGUCUUAUACAUAUAUUCAAUCAAAAACACAUAAAUCUCACCUUCAGAUAUGAUUUGUGCGGUAAUUGAAUUGAUCCCCCAAGAUGAACCCUAAUCCCCCAAAACAAAAGAAGACCCGAUGCUGCGUGUCUGCUUGUUUUUUUUUUUUUUAAUUUUAAAUUAAAUUNNNNNNNNNNNNNNNNNNNNNNNNNNNNNNNNNNNNNNNNNNNNNNNNNNNNNNNNNNNNNNNNNNNNNNNNNNNNNNNNNNNNNNNNNNNNNNNNNNNNNNNNNNNNNNNNNNNNNNNNNNNNNNNNNNNNNNNNNNNNNNNNNNNNNNNNNNNNNNNNNNNNNNNNNNNNNNNNNNNNNNNNNNNNNNNNNNNNNNNNNNNNNNNNNNNNNNNNNNNNNNNNNNNNNNNNNNNNNNNNNNNNNNNNNNNNNNNNNNNNNNNNNNNNNNNNNNNNNNNNNNNNNNNNNNNNNNNNNNNNNNNNNNNNNNNNNNNNNNNNNNNNNNNNNNNNNNNNNNNNNNNNNNNNNNNNNNNNNNNNNNNNNNNNNNNNNNNNNNNNNNNNNNNNNNNNNNNNNNNNNNNNNNNNNNNNNNNNNNNNNNNNNNNNNNNNNNNNNNNNNNNNNNNNNNNNNNNNNNNNNNNNNNNNNNNNNNNNNNNNNNNNNNNNNNNNNNNNNNNNNNNNNNNNNNNNNNNNNNNNNNNNNNNNNNNNNNNNNNNNNNNNNNNNNNNNNNNNNNNNNNNNNNNNNNNNNNNNNNNNNNNNNNNNNNNNNNNNNNNNNNNNNNNNNNNNNNNNNNNNNNNNNNNNNNNNNNNNNNNNNNNNNNNNNNNNNNNNNNNNNNNNNNNNNNNNNNNNNNNNNNNNNNNNNNNNNNNNNNNNNNNNNNNNNNNNNNNNNNNNNNNNNNNNNNNNNNNNNNNNNNNNNNNNUAAGUUUUGGGUAAAAACUGAAUCAUUGAGUUUCUUUGUUGUUUUCGGUCGAAUCUCUACUUGAGCUACUUUGAUUUAUGAUCCUUGCUAGCUGCAUGAGGUUCCAGGUGACCGAUUAUAUGUGUUCAAGGGCUCGUGUGUAGAGAAUUGAUAUAUUGGAAGUUGCAUAUUAGUUCUUAGGCCUUAAUAGUCAAUUUUUGGUGAUGCUUAAGAGUCAAUUUGUGAUACCAUGCUGCUAGGACAAACCUGCCCUGUUUUGAUAUGCUUAAGAAUGGUGUGAAAUUGUUGUUGGUUAGUGUGUAAAUUACUGAUUUUGUAAGUGCCUUGAAGUGUAGUUUAAGUGUGAAAAAUAAAUUUGAGAUUUCGUUUAGUAAAACUAAAGUUAUAUGAUUUUAUUGUAUGAAAUAGUUUAAGAUUCUCGAAGCUGAAAUUUUUCUCGGUUUUGGAUACUAAUUAAGCAUUUUGAGAGUAGUUGUAAAAUAUCAAAACCUCUGUAACUAGAUGCUAUGUAGAGUCUUAUGUGAUUACCAAGAAGAAUUACUUGAUUUGGAUAUGUAUAAUUAAAGUUAUGAAUUUUGUAAGCCAAUAGUGUCAACCUCCCUGCUAUAGUUGAAAUUCUGUUGUGUACUUCAUUUUCAAAAAUGCAUAACUUAAUAACUACACGUCCAAAUCUGCUUUUGUUGUUUUUAUAAUGUGGUUAUGUGAUUAGUCUUUGGUUUGUAUUCUUUAAAAAUCAUGAUUUGAGGUCGUUUUGUAUUUUAUAAAAAUUGGAUUAGCUAGAUAUGUCAAAACUGUUCAAGUCUGCCCUGUUUUGCUAAAUGAGACAUUGUGCAAGUUCUAUAAAUGAUAAAAUGAUAGAAUCUUUUUGGAUUGACUAGAUAAUUCCAAUUAUGAUAUUUUCUGUUCAUAUUGCUUAGAGAAAAGACUUGAUAUAUCAUGCUAUAAACUGAAGUAAUUGAGAUACUUGCUGCUGAAUGGUGUUAAAUAGUUGACUUAAACUUUAAAUUCCCGUUUCGUUACUUGAUCAAUUUUUUCAUACCUUAUAUGGUUAGAAAUCUCUUUAAAUUUCCUAUCUUUCUUGAUUGAUGUUCAUUUGAUAUUGAGAUAGCCUAAUGGUAGUAAAUUGCUAAUCUUUCAGUGGUUGUCCAGCAGUUUAUGUGACUGAGAAACAACUGUAAAUUAGACAAUAAUUUUAUGUGUUAGAUGUAUGAUACAUGUAUAUAUGCAUAUGUGAGAUUCUUGUUUAUAUGUUAUGUGUAAAUAAUAUAUUAUGUGGUUGUUGUAUAUUAUAUAUACAUUAUUUAUUUAGUUAUUAUUUCCUUGUUUCAUUUAAUUCUUAUUUGCUUAUAUAAUAUUAUAUACUAUUAUCUUAAUAUUUAUAUAGAGUGUAAAGUAUGAUUGUUUUUUUUAAUCGCGAAUGGGUAGAGAUGAAAUCGAAUAGUGACACGUUUUUUAUUACUAUUUAUAGGUCCGAGUAGGCGAGCAGGAAAAAAGCCAAUCGCGGACCAACCCUAAACCGUAAGCGUAGCACGUUUCUUAAGGCAAGUAUAUUAUCCAACUAACUUGAUUAAAGAUUUUGAUGUCAUGAUUUGAUACUUGAUUUUUAGAAUAUUACAAUUUUGUUUAUCAUUGAAAUCAAAGUUUAAAACUCUACUAGUUCCCAAGUAUUCUAGAUUGUUAUAAACGAAGAACUUGUAUAACUUUUGAUUCUUUAACCUAUCAUAUUUCUCCCCUACAAAGUUGAUUCUCUAGAACCCUGUUAUAAGCUUACAAUAACACUAAGAACUGAUACCUUGAAUUCUUCAAUGUUAACAAACCAGAAGUAUUCUUCACCUAAUAGGCCACUUCACUUGGUUGUCAUAUGAACCUAAAUAAGAACCUAAACCAUUUAUGCUUACAAUAUUAUAAACUAUGCAUUAUUUUAAAAGAAAAUAUACAUAUAUUUAUUAUAAAUAUACAUAUUUAUAAUUAAAUAUUAAAAUUUAAUUGUAAAAUUAUAUUUAUUUCGUGUACAUGUUGUCGUGUCGUGUACCCAAAGGAUAAACACAAAACCAACACGACAUCUAAGUUGUGUACUUCGUGUUCCUUGUACUUUACGUAUCGUGUACUCAAAAUGCAAACACAAACACUAAAUUUUUGUGUCGUUUUCGUGUCGUAUGAAAAAUUAUCUAGUCUACCAAUGGUACUCAUGGGCACACUCUAGAAAAAUUAUUGUAAUAAAAAUGUUUUUAGAAGCUAGGAUUUGUAAGUGUAAGUAGUAGUAAAACCGUUGUAAUAAAAAUGUUUUUAGAAGCUAGGGUUUGUAAGCGCAAGUAGUAGAAAUUGUAGCCAACCAAUGGGUUUGGAUUUAUAGCAUCCUUAGAUGUUUUAUCAAUAAAGAUAUAUCUUGAAAAAUAUUGUGUGUCGGUUUAUUAUUUAAUAUAUUCUCAGGAAUCUUAACGAUAAAUAUCCGGAACACAAAAUCCAUUACGAGCAGGACUGUAAUUUAUUUAUCCGCAAGAUUCGAAAGAAUUUUAAAUUGUAGUGAGUGCCGUAUUGAACCCUCUUGUACGAUACUUCGGGACCUAACAAUGCAUGAUGAAUUGGCUGCACAAAAAGUCACAGUCUAAUGUUGAAGUUAUCUAAUUGACACUCUGGAUUAAGGCAAUAAAAUAUAUAUAUCUGUUAUUUCAUUUAUUUAUUUAUUUUCAUAUUGUUUAAUAAUAUACAUAUAUGAAAUUUUUAUCUUAUUCAAUCACAUCUAUCUCAUUAUCUCCAUCAUCCUCUAGAUAAUGGCUUGUUAAUUUCGACUACCAAUUUUUUUAUGGUUUAAUAAAUUCGACCGCCUCGGAAAACGGUAUGUUUAUUUCGACCAAAAUUCAAAUUCAAAGGUUUAAUAACUCAUUUUUCAGUUUUUUUAAGAACUUGAGCGGGAAGUUCAAAUUUUCAUUGAAAACAAAUUUUGGGCUGAAAAGGACGGUCGAAAAUAGCGGUCGAAUUUAAAUAUAUUCGACCGGAAAUUAUUCUCGACUAGCUUAAAUUCGACCGGUACUUUCCUGGUCGAAAAUGACUAUUUUCGACCGUAUACGGUCGAAAUAAGGCAUUUUCGACCAGAAUUAGACGGUCGAAAAUGAUUUCUUCUCUUGUAGUGUAGGAAUAACUUGACAAAAAACUUCUGUCAUUUGCUUGGUUAGUGUAAGUUUAAAGGUUGGGCUACAUUUUGAUGCUUAAGUGAUAAUUUUUAAGGCUAUUUUUUGUGGUUAAGUCAAUUUUCUUAUUUUUGAGUUUAUAGGAGUUCUAUCUGUCCGAUUAUAAUGAAUUUUGGACAACAUAUUUCUUAAUCCUCUAGUAUCUAAAUGUUUAAAGGUGGAGAUAGAAUUUGUAAGUCUAGAUUGUCUAAUUAUAGAGUUUAUGGCAUAGAUAUUUGUAUCACAGUGAGGGUUAAACUUUACGUGGUGAAAUGACGUGUCUUUUUUUUCCCAAAAUACAUUUUUGGUUGAUUCUUAAAUUAAAGUCAAGGUUACUAGGAUAAGUCAGCCUUAAUUCUAGAUAUCAUGGUUGUCAUCCCACCUAAAAAUGACUGAAUGAUGAAGAAGGUGGCUAUAAAGCAAUCGACGUCUUUAUAUAUAUAAUGUGUAUCUGAAUACUAUCUCUAUCAUUAUCAUUAGUGACUCUCUCUUUAAAAAGUGUUGUAACACAGGAACUUUUGUUUGUACAUAUAUUGAAGGUAUUUUUCGAUAUAAUUGUGAAUAAUUAACAUGGUUGGUAGCCGAUGAACUAUUACAUAAAAUAAGUAUAUAUAAUAUUAAAUAGAUAUAUGUUUUUAUUUAAUCAAAACACUACAUAAUGGAAGGUUUAGAGUAUUAUUUUUGUUCAUAUCAAUAUUUGUGAAAUAUAUAAUAACACCAUCAAGCUAAUAUCUUAAUAUGAUAUGAGUUGGGUUUAUUAAGUACUACGACCCGAUCCAAUAAAGGCCUGCGUAUCCGGUUUAAUCGGAUCUAAAUUCCGCUUCGAUCCAAUAAACGGCCCAGCCCAGAUGCAUGAAUCGUAAGGAGAAUUUAGAUGGGCUCGAGGCCCAUAUAACGGCCCAGCUACGAGCCUGAAUCCUGUAAGACUACCAAUUCUCACGGAUAAACGUCUGGGAGUCCAUGAUAGACACUAAUACUCGAAGAUAAGAGUUCUGUCUUAUCUCCGACACCGAAGCAUACUUCGAUAAGAAGUCUGAUACAUGGAAUCGUACUUCCAUUCAGCUUCUGACUCCGAAGUAUCUAUAUAAAGGGCUCCACCCCUCAUAAUUAGAACUACGUUUUGGACUUGAUUCUUCUCCUGGCAGAGGAUACGUAGGCAUCUCGCAUCGAGACCAGUCCAAAGCACGAAUCGCUCACCCCCUUCGUUUUCUGUUCUAUAACAUUUGGCGCCGUUUGUGGGAACUUAGACAACAACCAUGACGAAUCCAACCGGACCACGUUCUGAAAUUCACGUUCCCCGUAGCAGAACUACCACCGGAACUUCUACUGAGCCCAUUCCCGUCAUUGCCACUAUCCCGCUCGGGACCACUGUUGCUCAAACUACUCUUCCGCUGACUUUUGGCUCGCUGCCCCCUCUGACUCGAGUGAUUGCAACCGUCACCGACGCCGGCACGCAUUACUCAACCGUCACGACAACCACUCGUGGAGGCACGGGUGAUGACUAUGUGCACGUAACUGAUUACGACUCCUCAGAGUCGGAGCAAGAGCGUGAUACCCCCCCUCGGAGGAGGAGAGAUACCGAUCAUACUCGACACCGUCGACGCCGCCAUAGGCAGGAGGCUAAUGAGCCCCGAGGGGCAACAAACCAGGCCUACGAGGAUCGAAUCCGUGCGUAUGAGGAAGAAAAUGCACGAUUAAAAAGGGACCAGGCAAGGUUGCCGCCUCCGGAACCAAGAGAUGAAAACCCUCGUCAGAAUGUCAUGAAUCAGAUUUACUUGUUACCAGCAGGUGAUCCCGAUAACCCCGUUCCCCCUUUCACCCAGGAAAUUAUGGGUGCAAGGAUUUCAAGAAAAUUCAAACUCCCAACCAUAAAAGCUUAUGAUGGCACGGGUGAUCCCGCUAACCAUGUCCGGACCUUUAUGAACGCUCUGUUACUCCAACCAGUCAUGGAGGCCAUUAAGUGUCGCACUUUUCCUCAGAUGUUGAGCGGGAUGGCGCAACAUUGGUAUAGUCGCUUACCCCCAAAUUCUAUCUCUUGUUUUGCUGACUUGAGCAGGGCCUUUAUAGGACAAUUUGUUGGAAGCAAAACACACGCCAAAAGCUCCGCCUCGUUAAUGAAUUUGCACCAGGGUAAGAACGAAUCGCUCCGAGAGUAUAUGAAUCGUUUUACCAAAGAAGCCUUGAAGGUCCUAGAUCUGGAUCAGAAGGUAGCCAUGAUUGCACUCCAGCAAGGUACCACUGAUGAUAAUUUUCGUAGGUCUCUAGCCAAGAGGGCCCCUGAUAAUAUGAACGACUUACAAGAGAGAGCCGGGAAGUAUAUUAAGGCAGAAGAAAGCCUAAGGAAAUCCCAGAAUAACCAAGGGCUGAACGCUAAUUUUAAGAAACGUGGGAACGACGCCGAGUAUAACGCUGAGAAUAAAUAUGCCAAAAAGGAUGAUGAUGAGAAGUCUCCUGCUAAAAGGAAGGUAGGACCAAGGUUCACCGAAUACGCUAGGCUCAACGCCCCGAGGAGUCAAAUCCUACUGGAGAUAGAAAAGGAUGAGAGUGUUCGAUGGCCGAAGCCCAUAAGGACUGACCCAGAGAAACGUAAUAAAGAUUUGUAUUGUCGAUUCCACAAAGACACGGGGCAUAAAACCGAUGAUUGUCGGCAGUUGAAAGAUGAAAUUGAAUUCUUGAUCCGAAGAGGCAAGUUGUCCAAAUUCACCAAGGAUGGAGACAAAAAUUAUCGGGACAAUGACAGCCGUGGAAGAGACAAUGAUGAUAAGAGAACCCAGCCUCGAGGGCCUGUGAUUAACGUGAUCUCCGGAGGGCCUACAGCUGCCGGAACCUCAAGUAAUUCACGGAAAGCUUAUGCGAGGGAAGUAAUGAGUAUAGUUGGAGAACCCCCGAAGCGGGCAAAAAUUGACUAUGCAAUGGCAUUCGAUAACAUCGACCUCGAGAAGGUAAAAUUUCCCCAUGAUGACCCCUUAGUAAUUACACCAGUGAUUGGAAACUCGUCCGUAAAGAGAGUGCUCAUUGAUAAUGGAGCCUCGGUGGAUAUUUUGUUCUAUGAUGCCUAUGAAAAGAUGGGAUACUCCGAUACUCAACUGACACCCUCGGAUAUGCCUAUAUAUGGCUUCAACAAUGUGGAAACCAAGAUUGAAGGCAUGAUCCAACUCCCUGUAACUAUGGGUACCGAACCUAGACAAGCCACAUGCAUGAUAAACUUCUUGGUUGUUAAAGCUUCGUCGACCUAUAAUGCCAUCCUUGGAAGGACCGGAAUACACGCUUUUAAGGCAAUCCCAUCCACUUACCACAUGAAGAUUAAAUUCCCGACUAGGAACGGAAUUGGAGAAGAAUUAGGAGAUCAGAAAAUGGCCCGAAGCUGUUAUAUUGGGGCAUUAAGAUCUGGAGGAGCCGGGGGGCAAGUAUUACCUAUAGAGGACCUUGAUGUCCGAGAAGAAGAGGAACGGAGAGGCAAGCCUGCCGAAGAUUUGGUUCCAAUCCAAUUGUAUACAGAAGAACCUCAAAAAGGUCACUUAUGUUGGAGCAUUACUCCAGGAAGAUUUGAAACAAGAGUUUGUGAGGUUCUUGAGGAACAACCGUGAUGUUUUCGCUUGGACAGCGACCGAUAUGCCAGGUAUCGAUCCCUCAUUCAUGACCCAUAAGUUGAAUGUAAACCCCGAGAGGAAACCUAUUAAACAGAAGAAAAGGAACUUCGCCCCUGAAAGGCAAGAAGCCAUUAAACAGGAGGUCGAUAAGUUGUUGGAAGCAGGUUUUAUCGAAGAGAUACAAUUUCCAGAAUGGUUGGCGAACCCUGUUAUGGUCAAGAAGGCCAAUGGAAAGUGGAGGAUGUGUGUAGACUUCACUGAUCUGAAUGAUGCUUGUCCCAAGGAUUGUUUCCCUCUUCCAAGGAUAGACACGUUAAUAGAUGCCACCGCUGGCCAUGAGAUGCUGAGCUUCAUGGAUGGCUUCAGCGGAUAUAAUCAGAUCCGGAUGGACAAGGACGAUGUACCCAAGGUAUCGUUUAUCACUGACUUUGGUGUAUUUUGUUAUUUGGUUAUGGCCUUUGGACUUAAGAAUGCAGGAGCAACAUACCAACGCCUUGCAAACAAGAUGUUUAAACAUCUGAUUGGAAAGACUAUGGAGGUAUACGUAGACGAUAUGUUGGUGAAAAGCUUGAACAAAGCGGAUCACCUUGAACACCUUAAAGAGGCCUUUGAAGUCCUAAGGACGCAUAAGAUGAUGUUAAACCCCGCUAAGUGUGCCUUUGGGGUCGGUUCUGGGAAGUUCCUGGGUCUAAUGGUCUCAAAGCGUGGUAUUGAAGCCAACCCCGACAAAAUAAAAGCUAUCUUAGAUAUGGAACCCCCAAAGAGUGUAAGGGAUGUUCAGAAACUGACAGGAAGAAUUGCAGCCUUGGGAAGGUUUGUAUCUAAGUCAGGAGACAAGUGCUUGCCUUUCUUCAAAGCAUUAAAGAAGGUUAAGAACUUUGAAUGGACGGAUGAGAGCCAAGUGGCCUUCGAACACCUAAAGAAAUAUAUGGCAGAGCCACCACUCUUAUCAAAACCCGUAGAGGGCGAAAUCCUGUAUGUAUACUUGGCUGUCUCGGAACAAGCGAUAAGCGCCGUCCUGGUUCGGGAGGAAUCCAAAGUACAGAAACCAGUAUACUAUGUGAGCAAGGUUCUGCAUGGAGCGGAGCUCAAUUACUCAGUAAUCGAAAAGUUUGCUUUGGCCAUGAUUACGGCCUCGAGGAAGUUGAGACCUUACUUUCAGUCUCAUAAAAUAGAAGUCUUGACAGACCAACCUCUCCGUAAUGUUAUACAUAGCCCGAAGGCUAGCGGAAGAUUAAUUAAGUGGGCAAUCGAGCUCGGGGAGUUUGAUAUCCGAUACAAGCCUCGAACGGCGAUUAAGGCACAGGCUUUAGCUGACUUCCUCGUCGAAUGUACCAUCAACAACGAGGAAGUCGGGGGGCAGGAAGGCAAGGUAGAAGAGCCCACUAAGGAAGAGAAACCUAAAGAAUACUGGUUGCUAUUUUUUGACGGGGCUUCAAAAACAAAAGGUAGUGGUGCAGGAUUGGUGCUCCAGAGCCCUGAUGGCUUUACGGUGGAAUAUGCUAUUAAGCUAGACUUCCCAACCACUAAUAAUGAAGCUGAGUAUGAAGCACUAAUAGCUGGGCUUGGUUUGGCUAGAACCUUGAGGGUAAAAAACUUGAAAGUCUGUGGCGACUCAAAGCUCGUAGUCUUCCAAGUGAAUGGUGAGUUUGAAGCCCGUGAGGAGACUAUGCUGAAGUAUCUGAGGAUUGUGAAGACCCAGAUGGCACAAUUUGAAGAAUGUCUAGAAGAAUAUGUGCCGAGGGAGGAAAACACUAAGGCUGAUGCCUUGUCGCAAUUCGCAUCCUCUGAUGACGAGGUAUGUUCACGAAGCGUUUAUUAUCAGGUUUUGAGAACCCCAAGCAUCGAAGCAAAAUUAGUUGCCCCCAUUAACACAGGGCCACUUGGAUGGAUGAAAUUAAGUUGUACUUACAAAGCGGCCAUCUGCCGCCUAAUGCUGAUGAAGCACGAAAGUUACAGGUAAGGGCCCUUAAGUAUGUACUCAUUGAGGGAGUCUUAUAUAGAAAAUCGUUUGUGAUCCCUUACUUGAGGUGCUUAAGGCCUGAUGAGGCUCAAGAAGCCCUAAGGGAGGUACAUGAAGGUGUAUGUGGCCAACACCUUGGAGGAAGGGCUUUGGCUCAUAAAGUCACUCGCCUUGGAUUCUAUUGGCCAGAUAUGCUAAAGCACGCUCAAGACUAUGUGAAAAGGUGUGAUCGUUGUCAAAGGUUUGCACCCGUUGUACGACAGCCACCUGAGAUGCUGACAUCUAUCAAUACUCCUAUCCCCUUUGCAAUGUGGGGGAUGGAUAUUCUUGGACCGUUUCCACUUGCAAGUGCGCAGAGAAAGUUUCUAUUGGUUGCGAUUGAUUAUUUCACUAAGUGGAUUGAAGCCAAGCCGUUGGCCAAGAUAACCACCAAGCAAGUUGCUCAAUUUGUGUGGGAGAACAUUAUCUGCAGGUACGGAAUACCUCGAGUCAUGGUUACAGACAAUGGGAAUCAGUUUAAUAAUGCUGAGUUUAGAAGUUAUUGUGAGGAUUACUCGAUUGAGUUACGCCUCACUUCAGUUGCCCAUCCUCAAGCUAAUGGACAAGCUGAGGUGGCCAAUAGGAUAAUCCUUGAUGGACUGAAGAAAAGAGUUGAGAAAGCCCAGGGAUCAUGGGCCGAUGAGAUACUCCCUAUACUAUGGGCGUAUCGAACAACUUGUAAGGUUUCAACUGGGGCAACCCCCUUUCAGCUGGCUUAUGGAGCCGAGGCAGUGGUGCCACUUGAAAUCACUCAUACAUCCUCCAGGGUCCAGCAGUAUGAGCCAGAAGCCAAUGAAGAAGGUAUGAGACUUGCGCUUGAUAUGAUUGAUGAGAUUCGUGAUGAAGCCCAUGCUAAGAUUGUGGAAAACCAGAAACGAGCUUCCUAUUACUAUAACCUACGGGUUAAGGAGCGAUACUUCCGGGAAGGAGAUCUGGUACUUAGAAAAAUUGAAGCUUCUGGGUGAUUUCCGAAAAAUAUUUUUAAAAAAAUCAAUUUUGAAAGAUUGAAAUAUUUGUUAUGCGGUUUCCAAAGAUUUUACAAAUUAUAAUUUGUUUAGUUUAUUUGGAAUAUCUGUACCAUGUGAUUUUAAAGUUGUGAAAACUAUUUGUUUUAAACCAUUUGAUAGAUAUAGGGUAUACCGAGUUAACCAGCUGUAGGGGUACUACAGCCAUGUCUUUGCGGCACCAUUGACAUGACACUUCCGUGAUAGUGUGAUUGGUCAUGGCGUAUCCUUCUGUUAGCUCUUGGGAGGAGCUUUGGCCAUUAUGAUUAUUUGUUGAGGAUACGUGGGUGCCUCAGUUUGAUUUGAUCAGUGAUUUGACAGUGACGUUGUAUAUGCCGUACCCGUUAUCUGGUUUGUUGCCGGCAUUAGGUACCCUAUGAUGUGUGUAUUUGUAUCUAUUCUAUUUGAUGACAGAAGUUAGUAGUUACCACAAGAAUAAGGUCAUGUUGACCACUGCCAUGUAGUUGGUUUCCGAAAGUAGUUUAUCUCUUUUACUAUGAUAUUAAUAAAGUCCUGAGGAUUAUCUAACUUGUUUCUUCAGGUUAUUCUUACUUGUGUUUCCACCUGUGUUUUCUUCAAUAGACGACCACGAGUUUCAAGUUUGAACUUACACGCUUAAAGCUAGAAAUCCUAAGUACGAACCACUUUGGAUAGAAAGCUCAUAAAAUAAUAUACUGACUCGUAAGAGUUAAACCCUGCAGGGUGAUUACAAAAAUCAGAAGAUUAUUCUAAGACUUGGUCUCCCGAGUUUAAUUUUAAUCCUAAGUUAAGGAUAUUUUAUUGUUAGGUUUGAAAUCCUAAACUUAAUGCACGAUAUGCAGAAAAGCAGAAAAAAGCAUAAGACGAAAGUUAAUCCAAAACGUAUUCUAAGUAAAGAAUGCUAAAUACGCGAGAUUAAAAAGUGAGACAAAAGAGAAUUUAAAUAUAUAAGUUAAAACCCCGAAGGGUAUAAAUAUCCGAAUAAUUAAUUACAGAAAUAAGCCACGCAGGGCCGAAAAGGAAACCUAGCCUAAGGCAGCCCAUCAUCGAAAAUGUCUUCUUGGGCCUUCUCUUGGGCUUCCUUCUCCUGGAUCUCCUCGUCUUGGGCCUCGACCUCCUCCUCGAGAUCCUCCUCGGCCCGCUUGGGAUCCUCGAUCACAAGAGUCUCAAUGGGGACUCCCCCAUCUUGGGAAUCAAUUGGGUGCGAAUCACCGAGAUCCUCUACCGCCAUCGGAGAAGGGGUUUCCUCUCCGGGAAGUGAAGGAACCGGGAACCGUUCCAAUGUGACCCCCUCGACUUGGGCCCCCACUUCAUCUAUGAUUCUCUCCCAGCAGGAUUUGAAAGUCUCGUGGAAGGAAGCGUCGUACUCCGCCGCAAGGAGAUCGGCGAACUCCGGCGACGCCUUGUAGUCAGCAAUCGCCUCCCGGCGCACCCUUUCCAACUCGGCCUCCAACGACCGCACCUUCUCCUGCUCAGCCACCAAUUCGGCCUCCGUCUUCCUGAACUGCUCGAAAUUGGCGGCUGAGGCUUCGAAGUAACGAUCACGGUCACGUUCCGCGAUCGCCUUCUCCGCCCUCACCGUUUUCAGGUUGUGGACGGCCGCCUGGAGAUAGGUGUUCAUCUGCGAGAAAGCAAACAAAAUCCCUAAGUAGGAAAACAUCUACUAAGUAAAACAAAAAGGAAGAAAAAAUUUCUAAGUAGAGGAAAUGACAUGAAGGGAAAAUGGGCCUUACCGUCGCCACGGCUUGGGCCCCCAACAUCUCUAUUUGAAGGUCCUCUGAGGACUCGACCACGUGGGCCCGGUCGCGAGGGGUCACGACGUUCUUGGACCAUUCAGCGGCGGCCCGAGCAUCCCCCACCACAGUGUCCUUAUUCAAAAGGCCCCACUAGACCACGUAAGGACUUGGGUCCUCGUCCACGGUCUUGGGCCUUGGGGCCAGGAAGGCCGAGACCUUCUCCACUACUUCGUCGGCCCCGCUCUUUCUGGGCCUCUUCACCCGUUGAACCUGGGUGGGCACAACCUUCGCCGCGGCCUUCUCCCUCUUGGCGAAGAUUGUGUUCAACCUUUCUUGGUCUGCAAACGCAAAAUCAAAAAGAAAAUUAGAAUACGACAGAUGAAUAAACAAGGCCCAAAUAACUAAGGGUAAAAGAAAAUUACCCUCUAGGCCCAAAUCACUUAGCCCAUGUUCCUGGAGCGAAGCCUCAGAAACGAGAACGGAGCAAUGGUGGAGGCAGUCCCCGGUCAAAAUUUGGAUUGCCGCCUCUUCCUCCACCCCCAGUUUUAAAGUCCUAACAGGCCCAUCUUCGGCCCUACUAAAGUUUGAAUAAAAGUAGUCGGCCCAGUCCCCUUCGUUCAAAUAUAAAUAAAACCACUGUUUUUUCCAGUGGGGAAGCGAGUCAGGGGCGGUGCCCGAAACAAAGAUACUACGGACCAAGCUCCUAUACUGGAUCUUGACCCAACCCUCAUCAUUGGGCGCAUUGACAAAUUUAAAAAGAUAUCUAAAAACAGAGACACUAGGCUCAAUACCGUGUUUCUUGCACUGGACCAAGAAACAAUAGAUGAAUUUCCAGCCAUUGGGCUGGAGUUGGGUCGGACAAAUGCGGGCCUCAGCUAAGAGCCUAAAAACAAAUUCAGGUGGGGGUAACCUGAAGCCCGCAUAAAAAGUUUCUUUAUAAAUACGAAUAGCUCCAGGUUUUGGGUAACAGGCUCGAUCAUUUGGGCCUGGGGCCACGGCCCUAUAAGGUCCGUUGAUGCCAAACAAGUAGGCUAUAGCAUCAACGUCCUUCUGGUCGUAUUUGGAAGGGAACUUGUAUGCAUCUAAAUGAAGUAGGUUCAGAAAAGCUUGACCGAACUCAGAAAGAAGGUCUCGAAGAGAAAAAACACUGGCAUGAACAAGGGAUUUUUUACCUCGAUUGACCUUGGCGGUGGCCACAGGAGGCUGUGAUAGCUGAGAUUGUUGAGAUUGUUGAGAGGAUGAAGAAUCCGCCAAUGAUCUUCAAAGAGAUGAAGAAUGAAAGCCCAGAAAUUGAUGAAGGAGGAUGAAGAUUGAACGGAAUCUGGAGAAAUCUUUGAAGAUUGCCCAGAAACUGGAAAAAAGCUUUAAAGAUUGGCCGGGAACUGCAGAAGAACUUGAAGACAGCCGGAAAUACGCCUCAGACUUCGCCGAAAAACUAGAGGGUUUGAGAGUGUUUGGGAGGAUUUUAAGCUCUUAAACUUGGAAACUAUUGUGCGAAAUGAGAAAUGAAAUCUCAAGUCACACUUAUAUAGAAAAAGUUCAACCCGUUCACUUGCCGGUAAACCCUAAAACAGACAGGUUGCAACCGGUAAAAUGGGCUUUGGGCCGGUCAUAUAGCCAUGUCAUAGGCGGGAAGCCCAUGGUUUUAAAAAAUUCGAACCUAUUCUAGAAGGAUCUCGAGAAUUCUGGGAGACACUCACAAAAAAUAAAAGAAUAAUACACUAUAUAGGCCUGACAAAUUUAUAGACUAAGGCCCACAACAUAUAACACGACAGUACUCCUAAGUAUGUCUUCUACACGUGGUACGCCCAGGACACAUUCACUUGUUGAACAAAAACAUCGUUUGUUAAAAUAAAUAAAUGAUAAUUUCGUUAAGGUAAUAAAAUGGAUACGCAUCUCGUGGCGGGGUUAAAAACCAUGUUUCCUAGGCGCGGCAAAGCACGCCUAGAGAACAACAACUUUUCAAGCCAGUGACGGGCCUCACCAACCCACGCCCAGGAGACAUGUCUCCUAGGCCUGUUAAACAACGUGCCUCCUUGGCGUGGCAAGGCACGCCAAGGAAGCAUCUUCUUGAUUAGCCGUGACAGGCUUUACCUAUCCCCGCCUAGGAGACACGUCUCCUGGGCGCGCUAGCAGACAUGCCUCCUUGGCGUGCCAAAGCACGCCAAGGAAGCACCACACGAACCAGUCUUGGCUAGCUUAAUGCAACCACGCCCAGGAGACAUGUCUCCUCGGCGUGGUAGUGUACAUUUCUCCUUGGCGUGGCAUGGCACGCCCAGGAGACACAUUUCAUUCAAGGAAUGAUUGACCAAAUUAAAGAAUUAUUAAAUUCUUUAAUCAAUUUCUGAAAAUUCAAAAAAAAAAAUUGGAAUAAAUCCCAAAAAAUCUGAAGGAAUAAAAGACGCUGAGAUUUAAUUCUCAAAAAUUGUUUUGAAAGUUAUUCACAGGCUCGAAAAAUUCUAAAAGUUGGAGUUUAAUCUCAAAAAUUCCAGUAAAAUAGAAUUUAGCCUUGAAAAAUACGAGAAUACCCGAGGACCUCGUCUCGAUAAGAAGUACGGCAAAGUACACGAUGUUCGAUAUUAAUACUCCUGUAAACUUUCGAUAAAUUACUAUGAUAUUUGUCGAAAGUUGGGGGGCAAAUGAUAUGAGUUGGGUUUAUUAAGUACUACGACCCGAUCCAAUAAAGGCCUGCGUAUCCGGUUUAAUCGGAUCUAAAUUCCGCUUCGAUCCAAUAAACGGCCCAGCCCAGAUGCAUGAAUCGUAAGGAGAAUUUAGAUGGGCUCGAGGCCCAUAUAACGGCCCAGCUACGAGCCUGAAUCCUGUAAGACUACCAAUUCUCACGGAUAAACGUCUGGGAGUCCAUGAUAGACACUAAUACUCGAAGAUAAGAGUUCUGUCUUAUCUCCGACACCGAAGCAUACUUCGAUAAGAAGUCUGAUACAUGGAAUCGUACUUCCAUUCAGCUUCUGACUCCGAAGUAUCUAUAUAAAGGGCUCCACCCCUCAUAAUUAGAACUACGUUUUGGACUUGAUUCUUCUCCUAGCAGAGGAUACGUAGGCAUCUCGCAUCGAGACCAGUCCAAAGCACGAAUCGCUCACCCCCUUCGUUUUCUGUUCUAUAACAACCAUCAAGCUAAUAUCUUAAUAAUUAUAAUUUAAUAUAGUUUUUCCUAUGACCAAAUGAUAUAAAUUUUCAAAAAUAAAUCAAAAGAUUAUAUUUAAAUGAAUCAUUUAUUAGAUCUUAAACCAUGACACGGUAUAGAGUUACCCCAUACAAGAUUAAGAGCUCGUUAAAGUUCUUAUUGGGCUGCUACCAAGAAGGCCUUUCUGACCAAAACCCUAAUCUUUCGUAUAUGAUCAAUGUCAGAGGGUUGGCCACACACCCGCCCCUUGUAUUUGAUAAGUCUAGUUCUCUCGCUAGAAGUGUAUAAUAUCAUCAUGAAAUUCUUUCUAUCACCUCUUAGAUUACAAAUUACAAUAGUAGUCAGCAGUUUUGCAAUAAGAUCCUUUCAAGUGAUAUGAUUUCCGAUCAGUGUAAGCAUUCAUUUUUUGUUUAGACAAAUCAUGGUAUAGAUCUUCAUAUAUGAUAUAUGUAAAUAUCCUGUAUAAUCAUGUUGACAUAAUUUAAUUUCAUCCUUGCACUUAUUGAUGUAUAAAUCAAUAUAUUUAUAAUUUCUUUUCCUAAAUUUCUUUUGGAAUUAAAUAAUUUUUGAACAAUUCUUAUUAUGAUGCUAAUAAUUGAGAUUUUCCUUUCAGAUUUUGGGUAUAAUAUUGAUCUUGAUGUCCUUGAGUUGUUUGUGGAUCUAUAUCUCAAAGACUCAAACAAUGAAGAAGAUGCUCCAAGUUGGCACUAUAGCUUCUCUGGUUAGUCAUGAUUUGACAUCUUUAAUAAUAUGAAUAAGAGAUUUUUUUUUAUUCGGUAAUGUGUUUUGUAUAAUCUAUAUAUGGUUGUGAUAAUAAUUGAUGUUUGCAUUUGGUGUUUUGAUAAGAAAUAUAUAUGCUACAAAUUUGAGAAGAAGUAU
rnacentral:lncRNA from 1 species